CGGGCCAGGCCGGGGGUCCUGGGCAGGUCUGGAGCCCGAUAUGAUGGCCGCUGCGGACUUGUGUACAGUCAGGCGUGGUGGUCGUGCCCUUUCGUGUCCUCAGGUGGCUACUGUGACCCUCACCUCUCCUGCAUGACCGGGUCGGACCAGUUCCGUCGGAUACGGUGACGUGGAGAGGGCACCUGGUCUCUCCGGCUCGGGUCUUCGUCUAGUGGGUGACACGUUAAUCAGCGUGCAGUUACCGUGGUCCUGAGGGAUGAAGGCCAAGGAACUUGGCGUAGACUGGAAGGCUUCCUGGAGGAGAAAGGGGAAACUGGAGACAGACAAGCACACAGGGAGAACGAUCAUGAACACGGAUGGCCAUCUGCAAGCUUAGGAGAGCGGCCUGGAGCAGACUCACUCCCUCAACGGCUCUGGGGGAAGCAGCCUCUGACACCGUGAUCCUGGACUUCUGGAUUCCAGAGCAGUGGGGAGAUAAAUUUGUGUUGUUUAAGCCGCCAGGUUUAUUUAUGGUACUUGUUUGGGCAGCCCCAGGAACAAAUACGGGGAGGGGGCCUGACACUGUUCCGGGAAAUGAAGAAAAGUGCCCUGUGGCUAGAGCCCAGGGGCCCAGGGGGAGCAGGGUCCUCUGGGUGGCUCCACUGGGUCCCAGUGGGGGAUGCAAGGGAGGAUUUAAGGUGGAAGAGUUUUGCGUAAGGUUUGUGUUUUUAGAAAACUGCUUUGGCUGUUGCAGAACAGGUUAGCAGGGAGCCAGGCAGUCGCCACAUGAGGCCGUUGCAAAGGCCGUGCUCUGGCUGAGAUGAGUGAGUAAACAGUUAAAUGGGGGUGGUGGACUUCCCGCCCCAGAAGGUGCUGCAGACUCACUUUCCCAGCUGCUCCCCACGAAGUACAACUAAGUACCUUGCAGCUAGUUCAGCAGACAAUGGGGAAAGGCUCUGAGCUGGAAAGGAGAUGGGCUGACUGGGGACUCCAGCACUGGAGGAACAGCCAUGGGAUGGGUCCCUGGAGUUUCUCUUUCUUGUUUACAGGUUCCUGGAAUAGGCGCUAGAGGGGGCUGCAACCCAGACCUGCCGACAGGCCACUCACUGAGUACACGAUCACUGCCUCAGCAUCUGUUCUGUGUGGCCCGCUGCCUGCGGGGCCUUGAACUGACAGGAGCCCUCCCGCGAGUGCGUGACCUAGAUGACAGCCCGCAGAGUCACCAGUAAACCGAAGUUCCUGAUGUGACCCCCCCGCCCAACACCCUUGUGAUAACCUCUCUCCCUGUGGGCCCCAUAGAUUAAACCCCUGUGAAGCUCACCAAAACCCUGCUCCCUCUGGUUUGAACUGACCUAUCCAGCCUUAGCCCAGGAACCCCAAAGCACAGCCCUGUGGACCUAAUACAGGUGUGCGCCCCGGGUCCCGACUCCUGGGCACUCUGCCUGUACCUCCUCCAGGACCUGUGAGUCGUAAGCUUCCCUGUUCCGCUGUUUCUUGAGGUCUUUGUUGAGCCACCAGGCAGCCUGGCCGCAUGCCUUCUGACACUGCAGGCAGCACCCACAGGGAUGGAGUGACAGCCGGGGCAGCACCGGGAGAAUGGAGCAGACAGGAAGGGCAUUGCAAGGGAUGGGGAAAUAAAACUAUCAUUGGAACCACAGGCCAUAAAAGUAGGCUGGAAUUUAUACACUAAACCUAAAUUGGAUGACUUUCUGCUGAAAUAGAAGAUUAAUUUUUUGUUUGA